GUUAACCUGAGAUGUGCGACAACCCUUAUCGUUUUGAACCUACAUUUACUUUAAACGGGAUUCCUAUAUUGCCGGGCGGAUGUCAGGCCCUCAUUGCGCAGGGGAAGGCAGAAGCGCCGGUUGCGGUUACCCACCUGGCUUAGGCUAGGAGUCAGAAGAUAGGGGGCGGCAUUUCGGGGGAGAA
rnacentral:other from 1 species